UACGGAGGGUGCAAACGUUGCUCGGAAUCAUUGGGCGUAAAGCGCACGUAGGCGGCUUGUUAAGUCGGGUGUGAAAUCCCUGGGCUCAACCCAGGAAGUGCACUCGAAACUGGCGAGCUUGAGUACUGAAGAGGGUCGCGGAAUUCCCGGUGUAGAGGUGAAAUUCGUAGAUAUCGGGAGGAACACCAGUGGCGAAGGCGGCGACCUGGGCAGAUACUGACACUGAGGUGCGAAAGCGUGGGGAGCAAACAGG
rnacentral:rRNA from 1 species